GUGGGAUUGGUUGAGGCCGGCCGCGCGUCCUCCAUUUUGAGCCGCGCAGGGCCGUGGGGUGAGGUUGUUGUGUCGAGCGGCUGAAAUAGAAAGCGGCGCAGGUCAGCAACGAUGAGUGCUCGGGUAUUCAUUGGCAGACUGAGUCCUUAUGCCACUGAAAAAAAUGUGGAGAGGUUCUUCAGAGGGUAUGGACGAAUUAAGGAAAUUGAUCUGAAGAAUGGAUUUGGAUUUGUGGAGUUUGAAGAUUACAGAGAUGCAGAGGAUGCAGUUUAUGAACUGGAUGGGAAAGAGUUGUGCAAUGAGAGAGUGACAGUUGAGCAUGCCAGAGCGCGCAAUAGGGGAGGACGAGGAGGAAGGUAUCAAGGUCGCUUUAGCCAAAGCUAUCAACGUAGUUCGGGAAGAAAUGGGCCGCCAGUUCGUACAGAAAACAGAGUUAUUGUUGAAAAUCUGUCCUCCAGAGUUAGCUGGCAGCCUCUCGUGUCGUUGGCCUUGUGACGUGGAGUGCCGUUGGUUUUCCUAAUCGCUGUGCCUUGGUCUCUUGGGCCUAGUUGAAAUGCCAAUCUGCUCCUACCUUUGUCAGUUGCUGAUCUAAAUCUGUGUUGUGGUGGCCUGACCAACACUGGUGGGCACUGGGUUUAGUGCCAUUACCUUGCUGCAUCCCUGAAAAUGAUAACAAGGUGUCCUAAAGUCGAGAGUUCUGAGAGCCUGCUGUAAAAUGCGAGGUCCUUGAUUGGGAGAAAUUCGCUGGUAGGGUUGUUUGGAAGCUCGAUUUGGAGUGAGGCAAGAAGUCCGUGGUCACAGCGCAAGAGUAGCAAUCCCUGUUCCUAUGGCAAUGCCAGAGUCUGCCUUUAAGGGAGGGUGAUGACCGGGAAGGCUUCCAUCGAAUGGGUAGUGUCAGUCAAGCGGGUGGUGAAGAGAACCAUCUGGUCUUCGGUCGUGGUGGUGCCUCUGCGAACACUUGUUACAUUUGGCUGGUUGAAUAGCCUAGGGAAUUGUACGGGAAGGAUCUGAAGGAUUUCAUGAGGCAGGCUGGAGAAGUUACCUUUGCAGAUGCACACAGGCACAAGAUGAACGAAGGAAUUGUUGAGUUUGCCUCCUAUAGUGAUGUGAAAAAUGCUCUUGAGAAGCUCUCUGGCACAGAGCUCAAUGGAAG